CAAUCACUCCACCCAUCCAACUCACAACUCAAUUUAUCCACCAUUCAACCCAAGUUGGAGCGUUCCACCGCUGCUCGUCACCCCAACACCAACACAUCUUCAGAUCUUCUUCCAAUUGAGGCAUGCCGCGGCGGAGGUGUGCGGCUGGUGGUCGAUGAGAUCGAACGGAGAAAAUGGAGGCCCAGAAAAUGAUUUUUCUUCAUCUUCGGGCGGCGGCGGCGGCGGCAAUGGCGGUCAUCCUUGGAAGCAGAUGUUUUUUCGAAGUUUUCGGGCCAUGAUUGAUCAAAAUCCACAGAGAAUUGAAGAUGGCCAUGUCUGACAGGAAAGGGAAGAUGAAGACGGAUGAAGAACGAAGACGAGAAAGAAAAAAAAAUGAGAGAGAGAGGGAGCUUGGGGGCAUUUAUGAGAAUUCACAUGUGAAAAUGGAGCAAAAAUCACAUAAACAGCGCGUGAGCGACACGAUUUGUUCUGAGGGGGCUAGAUGCUUUGACUUUGUUUACACA
rnacentral:lncRNA from 1 species